UAAGCCGUCAAAGUAAAUAUUAAUAUAUAUGUUUGGUUCAAGAAUUUAGAUUGUAUAUCAUAAUUGCAAUAAUCAAUCAGCCAAAUUCAAGGCUUCAUUUCUUGUAGUACUUUUUCCCUUCAUAUAAAAAGUGGAUAAAAAUUGUGUGGGUGGGUAUGUAUUACUCAAGCUUGAAAAAUUAGGUCAGUUAUAUUUAAAAAAAUGAAGUGGUCAUUUCAAUUGAAAUUACGUUAAAAGGGUUAGAACAAGAAAUAUACGUGUUGGUAAGAAAAAUUUAUGUACAAUGGAAAAUAUUUGGAAAUCAAAUUAGUUUUAGGACUUUUGAAGUUAAAUUUCAGAGAAGCAAAGGAAAAUCUCUGCAGUAAGCAAAACCGCCAAAAAAGGUAAUCUUUUAAAAAGAUUUGAACUAGCCGACUGCAGAUUUAUUUAAUUUUUUAGUUCAGGAUUUUAAAACUUUGUUAAACGAAGAGAAGUUUCAACCUUUAUUCCCACACAACCAGUCCUUCCAUUGAACUUCUAUGUUUGAUCCCUUUUAGGCUACAACGUCCUUGUAGCAAAAGUGUACGUACAGUGGACGUCAGAUGAUUCAUUCUUAUGGAAUAUUUGAGGGGUGGUUCAUAAAAUACUCACAAUUUACGUCCACUGGACGUUUGUUCUAAUUACGGUGCGCAAUAAUCCGAACACAUCUACACGCGGCUGCGCAGUGCAACAACAUUGGGAUUCCAGUUUUUCAAUAUGGCCAACUUCCGUGAUUGACCUUCCGAUGAUAGUCUGUGAUUGAUGUUUCUUUUACCCUUUAAAAUUGUGUUAGAACGGUAGUGAUAUAAGUGUAUAUAAUAUGGAGUUCUAAUACCCAGGUGAUGUUUGCCGAGUUUUGACCCAGUAUAAAAACCUUAUUCGUGUGUUAACCCGGGUCGGUGCCUAGAAGUUGGGAUGCAAUCGUUUCCCAAGACAGUUUCCAAGAAAGCUAUUUCUAAAUGACUCAAAAGAGGAAAAGAAGCGAAUUUUGUGUUACUUAGUUACAUUAUUUUCUGACCUGGUAGUUUUAACAGUUAUUGAAUAAAUAUCAUUUUCAAA